AUUGUGUUCUUCAUUACCUACCUGCAGCUGAGGUGUGGCAUCUUUUGCAUGUUCUAACUCUGGUGUACAUUCCAGAUCCUUUAGCAUAAUACCCUUUGGUCAUGGAAAUGACAUCAUCAGGGAGACAACCUUGAAGAAAUGCCUGAAGUGACAGUAGAAAUAUUUUUUCCUGUUAUCUGCUGAAAGUAAAUACUAGAAUUAGAUUAAAAGAACAAAGAUAUAAAAGAUAUGGGGGGAAAUUUAUGUGGAAAGUAUUAGAGGCUGAAAAACUUUCUGUUAUAGGGAAAAUAGAAGAAUCAGAGAAAGGAAUGAUUAUUUGAGCCAUUCAUGGUAGUGGUUAUAACAUGAGAAUUAAGAUUUAGGGAUCAUGACAUUUAAAUUAUAUCUGUAGGAGCUAUUCAUAACACUUAUGUAUAACAAAAAAUACAGUUGUAAUUCAGGGUUGGACUAAUAGCCUAUCUAAUGUAAUCUUUGAAAAGUGGCAUGUUGAUUCAAAAAUAAUUUCAAAAGAGCCUACUGACUUCCUUACAUGAUGUUAGC
rnacentral:lncRNA from 1 species